rnacentral:lncRNA from 1 species
AAGCUUGCGUUGCACGAACACUUACACUUACACUAGUAUAUACACUACAAUAAAAACGGUCUACAGCGACACUUUUAAAUGUCGGUACAGAUCAAACAAAGUGCUGCUGGUUAAAUUACCGACACUUUUAAAAAGUGUUGCUAUAUGUGGGGUCGCUAGGUAUAUAGUGACAGUUAAAGAGUAUCGGUAUAACCUAAAAAGAGUGCCGCUAAUUUAUUAACACUUAUUUAAGUAUUUAGCAACCGCCGGAACUCUACCUCGUUCGCUGCGGUGGUGGAGGAUGAGGAGAGGGAAGGGCUCUUCGUCUAGGAUUUCAGUGGAUUGAGUGAGGGGAGAAGGGGAGAUGGUAAUCAAUUUUUCUUUUUUUUUUCUUUUCUGUUUGUAAUCGGACCGAAUGGAUUGGGUGGGGUGGAUUGAGUAGAGUAACUUUUUAUUUUUGGUUGAAUUGAGCUUUAUAUUUAGACAUUAGCAGAUUUUAUUUUUUAAGUUUUGACAUAAAUGGGAUAUUUACACAAAAGUGUCCCAAACAUGUGUCACUAUAACCUAAUUCUGUUGUAGUGAUAUUAAAUUAUUAAAAAUUGGUUAAUUUUGUUAAUUCGAUUUUUCUAGUUUU